CCGCAAGCCUUCCAGCAUGGCUGGGCCUUCCCCGUGGCCCUGCUCAUUCCUGUAGCGCUUGCCAGAGCAAUCCUGGGAUGGUUUGAGGCCUCGCUCUGCUCCUGCUUCGGAUCGAGGUUAUAGAAAUCCCGUACAUUG
rnacentral:snoRNA from 1 species